rnacentral:rRNA from 1 species
UACGUAGGGGGCAAGCGUUGUCCGGAAUCAUUGGGCGUAAAGCGCAUGUAGGCGGUUCGGUAAGUCUGCUGUGAAAGUCCAGGGCUCAACCCUGGGAUGCCGGUGGAUACUGUCGGACUAGAGUACGGAAGAGGCGAGUGGAAUUCCUGGUGUAGCGGUGAAAUGCGCAGAUAUCAGGAGGAACACCGGUGGCGAAGGCGGGUCUCUGGGCAGUAACUGACGCUGAGAAGCGAAAGCAUGGGGAGCGAACAGG